rnacentral:piRNA from 1 species
UUUUGGAUAAUGGGAAAUAUGAG